rnacentral:lncRNA from 1 species
AUCUUGAGAAUACAAAAUGGCCCUUCUUAGAACCCAUUUCAGCAGGUAGCAACAAUUCAGUCACGUUCCAUGCUUCUGUGUAGCUCCUGCUGUUAAUGGGAUGGGUGAUGGAGCCUACUAGAAUGGAUAUGCAAGCAAUCUCAAGAUUUCAAUCUAUCUGGGUCAGCCAGCCCUUUGUGUGGCGUGAAACAAGCUUCUGCCUUUCUUGGAAACCUGUAGACAGAGGCCUCAUUGCCUUCUCUCUCCACUCACACACGCCUUCCUCUAUCUGCAUUCUAUUGCCACAGGGAUCAAAUGGCUGCCAUGCCAGCCUGCAGAAAUUCCUUGGCUCAGCAGGGCCCCUGAGUCAUCCUUAGAGAGAUACUAGGAGCAAAGAGGCAGAUGAGCAGGACACAAAUGGGCUUUGUCUUGGGGAAGAAGGCUGAGGAAAAGGCAGCACACCCAGCGACGCAAAGAUGCUGCUGUCAGAUGUUCUGUUCAUCCUCCUUUUCAUUUGCUGCUGUCCAUCCCUCCAUUCCUGACGUUUUCGGACACCAGCUCCUGCCAGCUGGGAGCACAAGGAGACCAGGUGACUAUUGUCUAGAAUCUACCAGUGUUCUGAAAAUGGCCUCUUUCCUGUCCACCAAAGGGGAAUCAACAAUGCCAUGGAGAUUUAAAUCAUCAUUAAUGAGGACACUUCUUUAUUAGAAAAGUGAUAUUUAUACAUUAAAGAAAAGGCAAGAAGACUUGAGGAUUUCUCUCCCUAAAGAUGAAAUAUGGGUUGCAUCUAGGAGCUCUCAAAAAACAGGAAGAACUAUUACCUUGAAAAAUAUAUCAAACAAGAGAAAGAGAAGAACCUUUGUGUGGUCUUCUGAGCUAUCAUUCGUUAAAGUAGUUUUCUCGGGCAAAAUGCCCUGAUUAACUGUAUCCUCACAACCAAUGACCACACGAGGGAAAUAAAGGACCUGGUGAGGAGGCCGGUUACAGAUCUGUUUAGCCAAGGGGUAAAGGAAGAGAUUCCCCCAUCCCCCUCUCCCCUAUGGUCCUUCUCCCUGCAACCACUGCCUGCGAAAAGCAUCCCUCCUUU